rnacentral:rRNA from 1 species
CGGCAGUAGCGCGGUGGUCCCACCUGACCCCAUGCCGAACUCAGAAGUGAAACGCCGUAGCGCCGAUGGUAGUGUGGGGUCUCCCCAUGCGAGAGUAGGGAACUGCCAG